rnacentral:misc_RNA from 1 species
GAUGAAGAACGCAGCAAAAUGCGAUAAGUAAUGUGAAUUGCAGAAUUCAGUGAAUCAUCGAAUCUUUGAACGCACAUUGCGCCCCUUGGUAUUCCGAGGGGCAUGCCUGUUCGAGCGUCAUUAUAACCCCUCAAGCUCAGCUUGGUGUUGGGGCCUGCCGCACGGGCAGCCCUUAAAAUCAGUGGCGGUGCCAUCUGGCUCUAAGCGUAGUAAUUCUUCUCGCUAUAGAGUCCCGGUGGAUGCUUGCCAUUAACCCCCAAUUUUCUAUGGUUGACCUCGGAUCAGGUAGGGAUACCCGCUGAACUUAAGCAUAUCAAUAAGCGGAGGA